UUGCACCCUUACGAAGAGGUGUCGUUGGCGUCCUCUGAUUAAAAUAGCAAGAUUCAAUUAGAAGCGCGCACUGUGAUACCUCAACGGAAACUGUGAAUGGACGGUUCUCUCCAGUUUGUCCUAUUGGUGAAAAGACAACGUGAAGGACAUCAAGGAGCUCAUUCAUCAAACAAAUCUAUAUUUGUCAGAAUUGACAGAGCAGCUGUCCCCGGCAAAGUCAAAACAAGGACACAACAACAAACUACUCUGUGAGAGCAGGAAGGGACAGACGUCCGGCACAGGAGGGGUCGAAGGCCGGAGCUUUGCCAGCGCCAUGAUGUGUUCAAAGGUGAUGUCAGUCUGAGUGCACACGUCCACCACAUGGAUCUCCUGAGGGGGGCCAUGGG